rnacentral:rRNA from 1 species
GAUGAACGCUGGCGGCGUGCCUAAUACAUGCAAGUCGAGCGAACAGAUGAGGAGCUUGCUCCUCUGACGUUAGCGGCGGACGGGUGAGUAACACGUGGAUAACCUACCUAUAAGACUGGGAUAACUUCGGGAAACCGGAGCUAAUACCGGAUAAUAUAUUGAACCGCAUGGUUCAAUAGUGAAAGACGGUUUUGCUGUCACUUAUAGAUGGAUCCGCGCCGCAUUAGCUAGUUGGUAAGGUAACGGCUUACCAAGGCAACGAUGCGUAGCCGACCUGAGAGGGUGAUCGGCCACACUGGAACUGAGACACGGUCCAGACUCCUACGGGAGGCAGCAGUAGGGAAUCUUCCGCAAUGGGCGAAAGCCUGACGGAGCAACGCCGCGUGAGUGAUGAAGGUCUUCGGAUCGUAAAACUCUGUUAUUAGGGAAGAAAAAAUGUGUAAGUAACUAUGCACGUCUUGACGGUACCUAAUCAGAAAGCAACGGCUAACUACGUG